UACGAAGGGGGCGAGCGUUGUUCGGAAUUACUGGGCGUAAAGGGCGCGCAGGCGGCUCUGAAAGUCAGAUGUGAAAGCCCCGGGCUUAACCUGGGAAUUGCAUUUGAUACUCUGGAGCUUGAGUACGGGAGAGGAGAGUGGAAUUCCCAGUGUAGAGGUGAAAUUCGUAGAUAUUGGGAAGAAUACCGGUGGCGAAGGCGGCUCUCUGGACCGUAACUGACGCUGAGGCGCGAAAGCGUGGGGAGCAAACAGG
rnacentral:rRNA from 1 species